CCUCGAACUCAAACGCUGUAGCGCUCGGAUGGUGCUGCAACGACCAGUAACGAUUCAAGCAAUGCCAGAGUUCGACUGCUUUGUCUGGACUUUCGCCGCAGGAAUGAUGCCAUAAACUCAGAUUGCAUAUCAUAGGAAUUUGCAGGAAGGGUCUCCUGUUGCAACUUGGAGGGUAGACAACUCUGGUUUGCACUGCUGGACCUACCAAGCAAGCUGAUUAAAAGUGCACCUCGAAUUUCUUGAGAGCAACUUUAACUUUAGCCUAUGUUGAACAAAUACACAGGUGAAGAUUAAAUUUAAGAAGCUAUUAUUUCCUGAUAAUUCAUUUGACCAAUGUUGCAGGUCGUAUCGGGAGCGAAUCUAAACUAUAAAUCCCCUAUUUUGUCCGUAGCAACAGGAGUCAUGGAUAUUCUCUCUUUCCUCUCCGACACAUGUAACUUUAUGCUCUUGCUCGCAUAAUAUACCUCAAAGCUAUGAUAUGUGAAAAGCUGGGGAUCUCGUAAUGCAUGCUAGCCGAGAUGUGCAAUGAGCAAGUAAUUAUCUAUGUACACAUUAUACUUGGCCCGGGGGUCUAACGCUCUAGAAAUUGGUAUAGUUUGUAGCCAGCCAUUUAUGACUGCAGCGUGGCCCAUUCUGCAGGAUUGUAUCGUCUUGAUUUGUGACAUUAGAAGAAAAACCAUAGAAAACACAGUGAUCCUGGCCUUGUUUUCUGCAGUACUUUAGAAAGUAAAUGCGAGUGAUUCCUCGACUUCUUGAUCUGAACUGAGACUGGAAAAUUGUUAUCCAUUUGGAAAGUUCUAAUCUGAUUUUUUUAUCCUUUCAGAGAGCCUUCGGUGUAUUAUGAAGUGGAAAUUUAGGAAGAGUAUAAUGAUUGCUCAUCUCAUCGACGUCAAGACCCCUCAGCUUUGCAAAUGACUUGACCUUCCCUUUCUGGGUGUGGGGUACCCUCAACCUGCAUCAUAAAGAAUUGAAAGUUAUUCAGAAAGAGAAUAAGGGCAUAAACCAGCUAUGAAGUCAAGUUUAUGCUGCAUAAAUAGGUAACUUCCGAAACACGUGAUUUCAUUUCUUUUCUCACCAAUGAAGCAUAUUUUUUGGCGAUGAAUACGACACACUAGAACAAGAAAGAGGAAAACAAUCACAUCUCUCCUGAGAAUACAUGCAUAUGAAUCUGUCAAGUCGAUUCAAUGUCCAAAUACGAGGCAAAAUAUACACGUCAGAGGGAUUGUCCUGUCCCUAGUUGCGUCUGCUCUUAGGCUCUUGCAGAUUUUUUCGAUAGCACACCAGAUUGCUGAAAAGUGUCUGCGAACUUCUGUAAUUGUUAAGAAGAGGUCACCUAUCUUUCAUGAAAUUAUACCAUAUUUGCAGGC